ensembl:lncRNA
AUGAAUUAUGGUGUAACCUGUGGCUGGGAACAGCAUGUCAGAAGUGGACACCUCCCUGGGGACAGGAGAGAAAUCACAGCCGAACUUCUUCCUGCCUGCUGCAGCCAGAGGGACUGUGUGUGGUACUCUGGAAAACCCUACUUUCCAUAUGAAUCUAUGUAUGUAAGACACUCCUCUGGUUUUUCUCUGACACUGCAACCUGGAGACAAGUCAUUUCUCUAAUGAAGCCAUGCAAACAUCAUGUGUUCCUCCGUGGAAAGAAGUGAAGAAGGCCAGGAGCAACAGGACACAGAGCAAACUUAAGUUACAAAGUCCUAACCGGAAGCAAGCAGAGAUGCUGGAGCUGUCCUGGAGAAAGAUAGAGUCACAGAAUCAUAGAACCACCAAGGCUGGAAAAGAUCUCCAAGGUCCAACCCAGUCCAACCUCAACUCACCCCCACCACGCCCACUGACCAUGACCCCACAGUGUCACACCUCCACAUUUCUUGAAC